CAACAUUCUCCAAAUAUACCUUCCCGGCUGGCCAUUGAUAGCAUGUAGUGCCCAUGCUAUCAAAAAUCUCCAUAGCUGCUCAUGCACUACCUGUAAAAACUCCAGAACUAAAAAAAUAAGAACCAAAAGAAAAAUAGAGAAAAUAAAUAGAAAUAACAAAAAAAAUCCAGAUUAGUAUCAAAUAAUCAACAGAUAGUACUGAUAAAAAUCAGUCCCCGGCAACGGCGCCAAAAACUUGUUCGCUAUUUUAUUAACACGCCGCAAGUGUACGGGUGCAAUUGUGUACAGUAGCAAGCAAGGUCGUAUUCCACAGAGACUGAAUUUACCAAUUCCUAUCCUAAAUUAUUCUACUCUAUCUG
rnacentral:lncRNA from 1 species